rnacentral:rRNA from 1 species
AGGGUUUGAUUAUGGCUCAGGACGAACGCUGGCGGCGUGCCUAACACAUGCAAGUCGAACGGAAGCAAAGAUUUCGGUUUUUGCUUUAGUGGCGAACGGGUGAGUAACGCGUGAGGAACCUGCCUUUCAGUGGGGGACAACAGUUGGAAACGACUGCUAAUACCGCAUAAUGCUUUUUGAUGGCAUCAUUGAAAAGCCAAAGAUUUAUUGCUGAAAGAUGGCCUCGCGUCUGAUUAGCUAGUUGGUGGGGUAACGGCCCACCAAGGCGACGAUCAGUAGCCGGUCUGAGAGGAUGAACGGCCACAUUGGGACUGAGAUACGGCCCAG